GUUUGAGUCACAAUGGCAUGGUAAGGUGAUCGUCUGACAGCAAUAUAAGGUACAUCCAAUCUGAAUGUUUCGUAUAUGAAUACAUUAAAAGCUGUAUUAAGUUGUUUUAAAGUGCAAAUUCACUGCAUUUCUAAACAUCUGUUUCUUUUUGUGCAUAACUCUUUCCCUCUGCAUGUCAUGGUUUGAGCAUCAAAAUGGCAAACUUAUGACAGCAAUAAAAGAUGACAGCGUUUGAGUAUCACGAAGGCAAAAUUAUCACAGCAAUAAAGUGUCACAAUGACGGAUAUGGGAAGAUCACAUGACAGCAAUAAAGGUACAUAGCGAUGUCUAUCAAACUUGACCAAUGACCAAAAUUACAACAGAAGGGUUAAUUAACUAUGCUAUCCCUGGAUGAGGCCGUGACGUUUCUGCUGAGCUUGUGGACCGUGGCAGAGCAGAAGAAUCUGUGGGAUACAGUGAUGUGUUUUGGCUAAUUGGCCAUAGAAAAGAGGACGUCAGAACAGCGUGGAGACAGUGAAUAAUAGAUUAAUGGGCACGGCCCUAAUUGAUAAAGCAUGGCCUUCUGAAGCUAGAGGUUGUGUGGGUAUGGAGGAUGAAUCAGUGAAGAGCGUGCUUCAUGAACAGGAAAUACCAGGUUUACAUCCCACCAUGAGCUCUUCUGAUGGAGGGAUGCAUUUGUGCCUUUGAGCAAAGCAUUUUAAUGUCAUCUGCUUGAGGUCUUGAUACCACAGCUUUCUAGUUACCGUGUAAUCCAGCUACAGUCUGCCAAUGGAGGAUAUUUUACACUGCUUGCAAAAGACUGCUUCCUCUUACCUUCUUAUGUAAGCUUGUUUAAUCACGUUUGCAUCAACACUCUCAUGGCAAUUCACAACUUCUAAGGCUUUGACAAAUAAGUGAUGAACUUAUGUCAGUUUGUAUUAUUUCAUUUGUGCAUGCCUUUUUUGUAUUAUUUCAUUUGUGCAUUUUUGUAUGAUUUGCUUAUCCCCAUUUAAGACCUUCAUGCUUUCUUUUUGGUCUAAAAAUCAUAUGUUUUUCAUAACAUGUCAUGAACAUGUCAAAUUUAGGCUGGAUUAAGAAAUACCAAGAGAGAGAAUCUCUAAAUUGUGAUAUGAUUGGUUUGUUGUGUAUUAACCGUAAUUGGCAAUCCAUCAGUUAAGCUAUAAACAUAUACUGAUUUAUUAUAAUCUUCAACAAGAAAGCCAAAUUAAUCCUGUAAUCAGGCAUCACAACUGCCAAAGUGACUGUGAUGUGUAUAUGCUGUUAAUAUUACGUUAUCAAAAUUGAAUAUUUUUUUCUGGUAUUCAGUGAUAGUAAUAUUGGUUCUUUGCUGAAAGGCAUUGAAGCAGCAGUCUUUGACAUGGUUAUACUUAAUCUGAGAUUCAUUGUAAUGUGAAUCAAUUGAUGGAUGGUAAGUGUGUCACAGUAAGUGAUCCAAUACAGCUUAUUUUGCCCUAUGAUUAAAGUCAUUUGUUUUUGAUGAUAAUAUCAUGGUCGCAAAAUCACACAGUCUUCAUCUAGUUUCAGUAGCUAAAAACAAGAUGCUUUGCAACCAUAUUAUAUGCUGAUGACACAAUUUUAAAUGAGCAAACAAAGAGGAACCUAUGCCAAGGGAAUAUGUCUGAUGAGAAACAGCUACCAAUAAUGACAGACAAAUUGAACAGUCCAAACAAUAUGGUAAUGUGCAUACUAUAUAGGGAAUUUAAAACACAAAACAAAUACAUUAACAUGUUACAUAAUGAAUAGCACAACAUUCAUCAGCUCAUUCCACAGAUCUGUUGCAUUCAGCAGAGGAACGUCUAACUAUGCAAUGAUAUAAACACAAAUGAACAAAAUAUCAUUUUCUUACUAACAUGGAAUGCAAAAAGUGAUGUACUGCACUAUAGAGCAGUAGAUUUUCAGCAAAUGAAGUCUGUGUUGUGUUUGUCACACACUGCUAUUCUAUGAUUUGUAACAUAACGCAUGAGUGGUAUGAAAUAUGACUUUGUCCUUGACUGUUCAUAUAAACUGAUACUGCAUAUUUACUGUAGUAUAAAACAACUGGGAUGCAUCAUUGUUUGUUGCUUCAGUUGUAUAUGUGCACACCAUUCCAGACCAAAGUUAUGUGAGUGGUAUGGAGUGGAAUUGUUUUAUGAAAAUAUAAUAAUAAAGUUUUG
ensembl:lncRNA